rnacentral:rRNA from 1 species
UACGUAGGGUGCAAGCGUUGUCCGGAAUUAUUGGGCGUAAAGGGCUCGUAGGUGGCUAAUCAAGUCUGCUGUCAAAGCGUGGAGCUUAACUCCAUACCGGCGGUGGAAACUGAUGAGCUAGAGUGCGAUAGGGGUAGCAGGAAUUCCCAGUGUAGCGGUGAAAUGCGUAGAGAUUGGGAAGAACACCAGCGGCGAAAGCGUGCUACUGGGUCUGCACUGACACUGAGGGACGAAAGCUAGGGGAGCGAAAGGG